rnacentral:rRNA from 1 species
UACGUAGGGCGCAAGCGUUGUCCGGAAUUAUUGGGCGUAAAGAGCUCGUAGGCGGCUUGUCGCGUCGGGUUGUGAAAGCCCGGGGCUUAACCCCGGGUCUGCAGUCGAUACGGGCAGGCUAGAGUUCGGUAGGGGAGAUCGGAAUUCCUGGUGUAGCGGUGAAAUGCGCAGAUAUCAGGAGGAACACCGGUGGCGAAGGCGGUCUCUGGGCCGAUACUGACGCUGAGGAGCGAAAGCGUGGGGAGCGAACAGG